rnacentral:ncRNA from 1 species
AGUGUCAGUAAAGGAAAUAGAAGACUUAGUGUUAACUCGACUCUUAGUUUGGCACUGCACAGAACGACCCAAGAGGUGCAGCCAUAAGUGGAAGUAGAAGAAUUGAAAUUAUAUUAUAAGGAUAUACAUUUGUUUUUUUACGACAAGUGAAAUACCACUACUUUUGGUGUUGUUCCUGCUUAUCCAUUUGUAGAAAAGGGAAAAACAGGGAAAGUUGGGGAUAGAAAUAUACAUAUGUACACAUAUAUGUACACUUAUUUAUCACGUUCUGUAAUAUAUAAGGUUGAUAGGAAGGAAGAAUUUUUUUUUUUUUUAAAAUUUAAAUUUGGACUUAUCUCGCACAUGUAUACAUGUAUGUAUAUAUAUUACUCUCCCCCCACACUUAAUAUGGAUGGAGACAAUGCCAGCUGAAGAGUUUAAGCGAAGGCUAAAAGUGUGAUGAAAACUAAUCUGUUUAGGAGCACAUAGAACAGAUAUAAAAAGUUUCUUCAUUACAGAGAAAGCUCAAAGAGAACAGAAAUCUCUUGUUGACCUUAAGUGGGGAAAACGCUUAUAUAUCUUUACAUCUUCAUGUAGAUGUUUAGAUAUACUUAGCCAUACGCAUAAGUAAUCCCGCACAUAUAUAUUUAUGUGUAUAUAUUAUAUUUAUAGAUAUUUUGCACUAUAACAGAAUGGGCUCCUUUUUCUAUAGGUAGUAUGCAGAUAUACAAAAAAUGGGAUUGUAAAAAAAUAUAGAAGAGUUAGCACAGAAGAUAACUGUCUUGUGGCUGCCGAACGUGAUUUAGUAACGUAGCUUUGUGAUAAAUGUUUUAGACUCUUCCUAUCAUUGGGACGAAGAAGUCUCAAAGUGUCGGAUUGUUCACUCUGUUUAAAAGGGAACGUGAGUCAUAAUUUUUAGACCUUUGUGAAUGAGGUUAUAUAUUAUAAAUUCCUACUGAUGAUUUAUAAAAUUUAUGGUUGUUAAGAACCAUUUAUCGAAAUGUGACAGUAGACCAUAUUAGUACGAGAGGAACAUUUGGUCCAGACCACGGGUACAGCGAUUAGUUGAAAAACUUGUAAUUGCGAAGCCACAUUUGUCUGUUGGAUAAUGGCUGAAUGACUCUAAAGCCAGAACCCAUGCUGAUUAAUAUUUUGAUCUCGCUCUUUCUGAAAAAUUUUUUUACGAUUGUAAAAAAGGAAAGUUAUAUAUGAAUCCAUUAACACGGAGACAUAAAUAUAUCCCAUUAAAGGCCGUUAACACAUAAAUGUGUAUAUAUUAUGUAUGUAAUAUGUACGUAAUAUGUACGUAAUAUGUACGUAAUAUGUAUGUAAUAUAUACACAGGCUAACAUUUUGUAUGUGGCGUGCUUUUUGACUAGUAGAAUAUAUAAGAAAGAUUUUUUUUCAUUUUGUAGCCGACACUGAUUUCCCCCGGGUGCUGUAAAUAUGAAAGAAGCAAUUACGUCUUACGAUCUAUUGAGGCUAAUCCCGAGUGGAAUGAUU